AUUAUCACGUGUCAAAUUAAUUUUAUAAUAGUCACAAAAAUGAGUUCAAUUUUCUUUCUCUUCACACUUCUCUUUAUCACUUACACUGAUGCAGCUACUAUUUUGGUACGUAACAACUGUUCUUACCCAGUAUGGGCUGCCGGUGUCCCGGUUGGAGGCGGCAAACGCCUCGACUGUGACCAAACAUGGACGAUAAACGCCCCUCGCGGGGGACCAAACAAGCCCGUGUUUGGGCCCGAACGGGCUGCAAUUUCGAUGCAUCCAGCAAGGGAAAAUGCCAAGCAGAAGAUUGUAACGGUGUUCUUGAAUGUAAAUCCUUUGAAGUACCCCAAAAUACACUAGCUGAAUAUGCCCUAAACCAAUUUGCGGACAAAUUUUGUAACACCUCGUACAUCAUAUUUAAAUUACGUUCAUGAUUCAAGACUUAGAAACCAAGACGGGAAGUGUUUAGAAUUAGAAAAUUUGUCCGAGAACGGUAAUUGUACGGGCCGUACUUUUAGGGCGUAUAUUUCAUGGGAAAAUCAGAAGUCACUGGAAUUUGCCAAUCAAGGUGCGGGAUAGAUGUACAGGGCGUACAUCAAUGUACGAGAUGUACUUUUGUCUCGUACAAGUCAUGCGAAAAAUCACCGUCACUGGAUUUUGACAAUCCAAGUAUGGGCUACAAGUGCGGCCCGUACAAUUGACGUACGGGACGUACAUUACAAAAAAAUGGGUAAUUUGUGGAGGUUGAAAGUUGCAAUUCGCGAAGGUUUCAACCUCCACUAUUUGUUAAAGGAGGCUAAAACCUCCGCGAAUUGCAACUUUCAACCUCCGGAAAUUAGCUUCUUUUUUUUGUAGUGAUACUUUGAGCCCGUAUUUUCCCUGCUUCAGCAAAUAGUAUAAAUACGUGGGUUCAGUUUUUAUUUCCACUUUUCACAAUCUCAAGCCCUAGCACGAAGUUCUCCUAUUCCCACCAUUAGAAUACAUCAAGGGUUUUCAAGAAAACCCAUCUAAAGGAUUCAAGACUAAGGAUUUAGGAUUCUUCUCAAGUUCAGAUCAUUGGUUACAAGUUUUGGAGCAUUAACAGGUAUGUAGGGUUUCUAUAUACGUGUGGGAAUAUCAUUAUUCUUCCCCACACUGCGUUCUUCCAUGAUUAUAUGAAGUUCACCCGAAACUAGGGUUGUAGACACGUUUAUGAUUGCCCUAAGCUCAUGUACCCUGAUAUACCAUGUUUAUAUUGAUUAUUCGUUAUUGUAUUCUUGAGAAUAUAUCCGUAAUCCAUGAAAACCCAAACCAUGGGUUCGUAAAUGCAAGAUAUGAACUUUUAUGUUUAUUUUCAUGAACUUCUACAUGCUUUCAUGUUCUCAUACAAGUUAUACUAUAUAUAUAUUCAUGUUAUAAUACAAUGAAGAAUCAUGUUUAUAUAAUUCAUGGGCUACUAAGACAUUUAUAUCCAUGUUCAUGUUUUGUGAGUUGCACAGAUUACCGAGAAGGCUCAGACGUCCUGAAACUAUGUAUGCCAGUGUAGGAUAAGGAUCGCUCUUCCCAGUUAGGACGAUUCCUUCAUGACGUCGCAUUCUUACGUGGUGGAUACAUGUCGGUUAUACUAAGGCUCUCCCACUUAAAUAACAUUUUACUCAUGUUAUCUGUUUACUCAUGUCAGAUAUGCUCAUGUUCAUGCUCAGCUUACAGUUUCAGUGUCAGUUCUAUUAUUUCAUGUGUCAUGCGUUAUUUCAUUCAGUUGCUUUACACACCAGUACAAUUCAAGUGUACUGACGUCCCCUUUAUUUUCCUAGGGGCCUGCAUUUCAUGAUGCAAAUUUACAGGAUGACUGAUCGGCACGUUGGGACUUGCUCGUAUCAGCUUUUGAUGAGCCCCAUUCUAUUCGGGGUGUUAUCCUUAUUUAUGUUUAUUUCAGUUAUGCAGUUAAGGUAUGCCGGGGGCCUUGUCUCGGUAAACAGUUUAACAGUCGACUCAUGUCAAAGGUUUCAUAGACUAGUCAGUUAUGUUAUGUUAGAUAUUCAGAGUCGUAUAGCCAUUUUGGCUCAGCAUUAUCAUGUUUAUUCAGAUUAAUUUCGCUUCAUGUCUUAAACAAGUAUUUUCAUUACUAUUAUGAGAUUCGAUGAUUAUUCAGACUACCCAUGUUUUAUAUUACAUUCCGCAUUAGCUCAUGCCCCAUGUUGAUUCAACAAGCCAUGUGGUUCGCUCGGUCACAUGCAGCAAGGCUCCGAGUGUCGUCUUACGCCCAGACCAUGGUUCGGGGCGUGACAAAUUUAGUCCAACAUCCAAUGGUUGCACCCGUGGCAUAACAUGCAAUGCUAAAUUAAUGAACAAUGCCCUAAUGAAUUGAAGGCUCUUGGGGGUUGUAAUAAUCCUUGUAAUGUUUUCAAGACCGAUCAAUAUUAUUAUAACUCCGGCAGCUACAACGCUAUGAGUUUUUCAAAGUUUUUUAAGGAGAGUUGUCUAGAUGCUUACAGUUAUCCUAAAGAUGAUCAGACUAGUACUUUAACUUGUCCUCUCCUUGAAUGGAUUAAAAUUAUUGUAAUUUAGCUAUCUACUUUUGUAUAUUAAAUCGAAUAAGGCUAUGUUGUCCUCCUAGCUAGGAGCAUUUAUUACUGCAGGCCGAGGAAUAAUAUGUUUUUAUGCAUGAAGUGAUGUGGAAGUGUGUUAAGUAGUUCCUUACUUCGUAACAAAUCAAAGGAAAACAAAGAUCUUUAUGAUGAUUGAUGGGAUUGUUUGGUUAUUAAUUAAUGUUUUCAUCAAAUAUUUUUUGGUUGGAA